CGGUGGGUUGAGCACUGCUUCCGGUUCCAGGCUCUUUCUGAUUGUCACGGUCAUUCCUCGAGCGUUUAUCAUGACCAAUGUAAUUCCUUAAGAGUCCUUUUUUAAUGAGAGCUUCAAUUUCCCGCUGCAAAGCUUGACAAUCCUCCGUGGUAUGCCCAUGAUCUCGUUGAAAUUCACAAUACUUGCUCCUAUCUCUUGAGUCACGGGGCAACUUCAUUCUUGAAGGCCACUUUAAUUAUUUCAUAUCUUUGAUCUCCAUUAAGAUAUUUGCCUUGGAGGUGUUUAAUCGGGUGAGGAUCCCUGGUGGACCUUCAUUCUUGUACUUUUCCCAAGGAUACCCUAGCUGGGAAACAGGAUCAUGUUGUUUCUUGUUCUCGACCUUUUCAUGGGAUGGACCAGGUCUCAUUGGAUUCAGUGUUUCCUCCAUAUUAAUGUAUUUUUCAGCUCGGGUGAGGAGCUCGGUCACUGUCUGUGGCGG
rnacentral:lncRNA from 1 species